rnacentral:lncRNA from 1 species
UAGAGACGGGGUUUCUCCGUGUUGGUCAAGCUGGUCUUGAACUCCCAGGCUCAGGUGAUCCACCCACCUCAGCCUCCCAAAGCGCUGAGAUUACAGGCGUGGGCCACCGCGCCCGGUGUAGUCUUAAUUGCUUUUAGGAAAUGGCUGUGCUAUAAACUCAAAAUCCUACUAAUACCCAGUUCUCAGCCCCAAACGGAAGAAAGAUUACAUUUCCAGUCUAGUUUCUAAUCCCAAGUAUCCAGGCACCCAGGAUGGCAGGAGAAGGGAAAAGGUGGUGCCUUAAAUGAGGGAAGGACAUCUCAGGCUUGGCCAGUUCUUACUCUUCCCAGGGGCCACCCUCCAGCCCCACCCUGAGCAGGGAUCCCUUCCGUGUUUGAAUCCCCACACUCCAAGAGUUGUUCAGCAGUGGCCAUGGGGACUGGCGUCCGGAUCCCAAACAAUACUUGGAGUAAGUUUUCCACUUUCAGAAGUCUCUCAGUCUUCAGGCUGAAGUUGACUCCAGUGGGGGGGGCAACCUCAUGCCCUACUUAGGUGCCAGUGAGAAUUGGAUUCAGCUUUUAAAGGCCCCACUCUCUGCUUCCAAAUGGUUUAAACGAAGACAGAAGUGUAUUUCCUUCUCAGGUGAAUGAAGUCUGGACUUAGUCUUCCUGAGGUUAUCAUGAACCAGGAUCUCUUUAUCCUGCUUUCUCCCCAUCCUUGACAUUUGGCAUAAACUUUCCACGACUCCCUUGCCUCCCCUCUUCUCGCCCCAUGCUGCACAUGCCACUCUCACUUACUUCAUUGGCUGGAACAUGGAGACUCCGACAGCGAGGGAGGCUGGAAAAGGCAUUCUUCAUUCCGAGUGCCGUUUCAUGUUGGGGGCCCAUCACUAAGGAAGAAGAGCAGAAUGGAUAUUUGGGGGAUACUAGGAGUCUCUGACCUCUCAUGCCACUCCAUGAUGUGCCACAGCAAAAAAUCCUCACUGGAAUAACUCCACUGCUGGCGAUGCCAAUGAAGGCCACUGCGGGAAAGAAUAAUUAAUUCCAGACACAUCAGUAAAGACACCCUCCUGUUAUAAGUGCUGAGAGAAUGGCUUGGGACCCCCUGGGGAAAGCUUCCCUAUCAUUCUCCAUCCUGACCAUUUACAGAUCACUACCCUCAGGGAGUAAGGUCUCAAAUCCCAUGUCAAUGCCUCAUGGACAGCUGGACUUACAAGGAUUCAGGCCCGCAGACACAGUUUAGGAAACUUCCAGGGAGCCAGAGAUCAGGCAAGGGAGCUGCGUCCCUACGUGACCCCAUCUCAGCUAAGAUGAGACAAGAGCAGCUUUCUUUGUGAAAAACUAAAGUGGGAAGUGUUUCUUGAUGUUUCACUACAAGUCUGUAUAGAGGGUCCGUUUAUGAAUAAGAGAAUUGUGGAAUUCCACACAAGGUUGUUGGAUCUCAGAGAGCUCCUUCUGCAGCUCGGGAGCACUGUAACUGGAUUCUCCAAAUACCACUUUGGCAGGUCAUUGACAACCAUGUGACAAACUAUCUUUAGAGAAGGAAUCCAACCUCAACACCUCAACAUUCACUAGUUAACACUUGCAGAGUGCUUAAAGUGCUGGUUGGAGCAUGGUAGGGGCUCAGCAAAUAUUAGUGAAACAUGUGCCUGGACAUUCUGGAUAAGAGAAGCCAUUAUUAUUAUUAGAUAUUUAUGAUGCAUUUACUAUGUAUAAGGGAUAUAAGCACUCUGAAGGAUCACAGAGAUAAAAAAGACAUUGUUCCUGCCCUCAAGGAGUUUACAAUCUAAUAAAGAAAAUAAGAGGCUGGGCGUGGUGGCUCACACCUGUAAUCCCAGCACUUUGGGAGGCCGAGGUGGGCGAAUCACAAAGUCAGGAGAUCAAGACCAUCCCAGCUAACACGGUGAACCCCCGUCUCUGCUAAAAAUGCAAAAAAUUAGCCGGGUGUAGUGGCAGGCACCUGUAGUCCCAGCUACUCAGGAGGCUGAGGCAGGAGAAUGGUGUGAACCUGGGAGGCAGAGCUUGCAAUGAGCCGAGGUCGUGCCACUGCACUCCAGCCUGGGCGACAGAGGGAGACUUCGUCUCAAAAAAAAAAAAAAAAAGAAAAAAAAGAAAGAAAGAAAGAAAGAAAGAAAGAAAGAAAGAAAGAAAGAAAGAAAGAAAGAAAAUAAGAAUUAUUUCAAAAGGUUGUUUAUUUCUUGUCAGUUUCUAAAAACCAAAG